ensembl:lncRNA
CAACGUUAAACAUAUUAACGUAUUAAAAACUACUCAGUAAAUUGAUCCCGCUCAGAAUUUUCUUAGUAAGAAACUACAUACAGUUGUCUAGACAGUUAAUUGACAAAUAGGAGACGUCACUAAUGUCUUCCACUGCUUUACUACAUUGCAUGUUAAGUUCGCCCAGUGAAGUAAGAGUUUAUUUUGUAUAUAAGUUUUGUUGUAGCCUACAUGUAGUUAUCUUUGUGAUUAUCUGGCUAGGAGUCACAUCUGGUCGUCAUGUUGGUUUUAGGCACGAGACCUUUUGGAACAAUCCCGAGAUCCCGAGUUUGAGAAGAGUAAGUAAGUUUGGUUUCCACGCUGCAACAUGUUUAUAUAGUGUUUUUAUCUACAACACAGCUUUUAUUCCCUUGUUAUAAUGAUUUAGUGGAGCUCGUCGUCGUCACUCAUGUCUUGGAUGCCAUCACAUUUUGGGCUCAGAAUGUGACUGAGGACAAGGUCUUUGAGAAGCUGGAUAUGGCCCUCUCAGAAACAUGCCCUACUGCACAGAGUGUGAAGGGGCAGCCAAGUCCCCACAAGGUUUAUGGUGCCUGCUACUCAGGAGACAGAUGCUGGUACAGAUGCAAAGUGCAGAAACAGAUAGACGACACAGUAAGCACAAUCUCUCCAAGCCUUAGAGUCCUUUUUGGUUUGUUUACGUUGAUUGUUGAAAUGAUAGCAUGUCUG